AUGUUAAAUUCCCAAGUAGUUGCUCCCACAAACUCAUAUUUGGGACAUCGUAAAGCUGUAAUCAUCCAUAGAGAAAAUAAUAGGCGAUUUAUUGCUAUGUGCUUGAACUUGGUUCACUGGCACAAAUUUUUAUUAAGUUUACAUUUAUUUCCAGAAAAACAACAGAGCCUUUUGUCCCAAGCACAUUGGGGCAGGCUAGAGAUGAAACCCCACAAAAACUGUGAGAACCCAAAAGAGAAGACAGAAAGUGCAAACAAGCAAAAUAAAUCAAGGCAGUAA
rnacentral:rRNA from 1 species